rnacentral:lncRNA from 10 species
CUGCCAUGUAAGGCAUUCCUUUGCUCUUCCUUCAUCUUCUGCUGUGAUUGUGAAGCCUCCACAGCCAUGUGGAACUGCAGCCAGCUGUCAUGUCAUAAAAACUUUUAAGUGAUCCUAUGAAGAGACCCAAGGGGUGAGGAACUGAGACCUCAUGAUAACAUCCAGCAUGAAUUUAGCUGUGGGAGCCAGUCACAUUGGAAGUGGAUCUUGCAGCCCCAGGCAAGACUGGAGAUGACUGCAGCUUUUGUGAACAUCUUCACUGCAAUAUCAUUACAUACCCCGAGCCUGAGCCAGACAGUUGAGCCUUUCCCAGAUUCCUGACCCUCAGAAACUCUUAUUUUAAUAAAUUCUUAUUUUUCUACAUUGCUAAGUUGUAGGGUGAUUUGUAUAAAGCAGUAGGUAAUUGGCACAAUUAGACACUCAGUAGGCAUUUGGUCACAUAAAGUAUGCCUCAGAUAGUUUGCAAAUGCCUCUGGAGGUUUGCCAUUGUUCCUCCAACAUGGUAGGUUUUCUAUCAGGAUUUGCUGAUUGAUUGUGUUCUUCCUAAAAAAAAAUCUAGGGAAUUUUCAUGGGAAACUGAAUGGAUAGCUGUCAUUCUUUUCCUAUCCAUUUUCUCAGUUUUUCCCGAGGACGGAGUAGUUCAAGUUGAACUCUCAGCUCCACAUAUGGAUAUGCGGCACAGGUCUGG